rnacentral:tRNA from 5 species
GGGGUUUUAGUUUAAUUGGUAAAACUCUAAUUUUGCAUAUUAGAAAAAGCAGUUCGAAUCUGCUAAACUCCA